AAGGCUGUUAACACAAGUGGUAUUAAACACCAGAAAAGUGUUCACUCUCCCUCAAAACAAAUGAAAUGUAAGAUCUCCCUGGUUGUCUAGUGGAUAGGGAAAAAAAUAAGAAUAAAAAUGAGUCCAGUGCAGUGGCUCACGCCUGUAAUCCCAGCACUUUGGGAGGCCGAGGUGGGUGGAUUACCUGAGGUCAGGAGUUCGAGACCAGCCUGAUCCAUAUGGCAAAACCCCGUCUCUACUAAAAAUAGAAAAAUUAGCCGGGCAUGGUGGCAUAUGCAUGUAGUCCCAGCUACUUGGGAGACUGAGACAGAAAUGCUUGAAACCAGGAAGCAGAGGUUACGGUGAGCCAAGAUCACGCCAUUGCACUCCAGCCUGGGUGACAGAGAGACACACAAAAGAUUAUAAUAAAAAAUAAAAAUGAAAUGCAAGUUAAACUUUAGUAAGAUACCAUCUUCAUCCAUUGACUUUGCAAAAUCAAAAAGUAUAAUAAGGCCAGGCGCAGUGGCUCAUGCCUGUAAUCUCAAAGUACUGUGAUUACAGGUAAGAUGAGGGAUAGCUAGAAGCCAGGAGUUCAAGACCAGCCUGGGUAACAUGUUGAGACCCCAUCUCUACAAAAACUUUAAAAAAUUAGUUGGGCAUGUUGACACAUGCCUGUAGCCCUAGCAACCCAGGAGGCUGAGGUGGGAGGAUCGCUUGAGCCCAGGAGUUGAGGCUGCAGUGAGUUAUAACCAUGCCACUGCACUCCAGCCUGGGAAAUACACUGAGACCCUGUCUUUUUUUUUUUUUUUUUUUUUUUUUUUUUUUUUUUUUUUUUUUGAGACAGAUUCUCACUCUGUCGCCCAGGCUGGAGUGC
rnacentral:lncRNA from 1 species